ACAGAGGUCCCAAGCGUUGUUCGGAUUCACUGGGCGUAAAGGGUGCGUAGGUGGCCGGGUAAGUUCGGUGUGAAAGCUCGGAGCUUAACUCCGAAAUGGCAUUGAAUACUAUCCGGCUAGAGGGUCGGAGGGGAGACUGGAAUUCUCGGUGUAGCAGUGAAAUGCGUAGAUAUCGAGAGGAACACCAGUGGCGAAGGCGAGUCUCUGGACGACUCCUGACACUGAGGCACGAAAGCCAGGGGAGCAAACAGGAUUAGAUACCCUGGUAGUCCUGGCUGUAAACGGUGCACGUUUGCUGUAAGAGGAAUCGACCCCUCUUGUGGCGAAGCUAACGCGAUAAACGUGCCGCCUGGGGAGUACGGUCGCAAGAUUA
rnacentral:rRNA from 1 species